rnacentral:lncRNA from 1 species
GUUUUGUCUAAAUCCAGCUUGGUUGUCACGAAGCUUUUCAUCUAUUGCAUUUUUGAGUCGGUCUAACAUAACUCUAUUUAAAACUUUCCCUGGAACUGAUAGUAGCAUUAUUCCUCUAUAGUUGUCACAAAUGCUUAAAUUGCCCUUCUUUGGAAGCUUUACCAUGUGUCCUUCUUUCCAUUCUAGCGGGACCUCUUCUUCUUCCCAGA